rnacentral:RNase_P_RNA from 1 species
GCGGCGGGCCGGAUGGCUGCGCCUCCUUCCAGGGGGCGAGGAAAGUCCGGACUCCAUGAAGCAACGGUGCCGGGUAACGCCCGGGCGGGGAAACCCGACGGAAAGCGCCACAGAGAACAGACCGCCCGGCCUCGGCCGGGUAAGGGUGAAACGGUGGAGUAAGAGCCCACCGCGGGCCUGGCGACAGGUCCGGCACGGCAAGCCCCACCGGGAGCAAUGCCAAAUAGGGGCCUCGCGGGCAUCACGCCCAGGGUCGCUUCAGCCCAGAGGCCCGGGUUGGCAGCACGAGCGAUGCGGCAACGCACCGCCCAGAUGAAUGGCCAUCCAGGGGGCAGGUCCCCCGGACAGAAUCCGGCUUACAGGCCCGCCGCGCCU